rnacentral:rRNA from 1 species
CAGUGGGGAAUUUUGGACAAUGGGCGCAAGCCUGAUCCAGCCAUGCCGCGUGUGUGAAGAAGGCCUUCGGGUUGUAAAGCACUUUCGGACGGAACGAAAUCGCGCGCAUGAAUAGUGCGCGUGGAUGACGGUACCGUAAGAAGAAGCACCGGCUAACUACGUGCCAGCAGCCGCGGUAAUACGUAGGGUGCAAGCGUUAAUUGGAAUUACUGGGCGUAAAGGGUGCGCAGGCGGCUCCGCAUGUCAGGCGUGAAAUCCCCGGGCUCAACUUGGGAAUGGCGCUUGAAACUACGGGGCUUGAGUGUGGCAGAGGGAGGUGGAAUUCCACGUGUAGCGGUGAAAUGCGUAGAGAUGUGGAGGAACACCGAUGGCGAAGGCAGCCUCCUGGGCCAACACUGACGCUCAUGCACGAAAGCGUGGGGAGCAAACAGGAUUAGAUACCCUGGUAGUCCACGCCCUAAACGAUGACGACUAGUUGUUGGGGGAGUUAAAUCCCUUAGUAACGCAGCUAACGCGUGAAG